AUUAUCAGGACCUUGAGGGAGCAUUUAACUCAGGCACAGCAGAGGAUGAAACAUUAUGCUGAUAAGGGCAGGUCUGAAAGGGAAUUUGACAUUGGGGACUGGGUGUUCCUUAGGUUACAACCUUAUAAGCAGACUACAGUGGCUUUGCAGAGAAAUAUGAAGCUAUCUCCAAGGUUUUAUGGACCAUAUCAGGUCUUGGAAAGGGUAGGUUCAGUAGCUUAUAAGCUGGAGUUACCAACAACUACUAAAAUUCACCCUGUUUUUCAUGUCUCACUGCUUAAGAAGAAAAUCGGGACUAAUGUGUUAGCUCACACUACUCUUCCCCCAGUAGGUCUUGAGGGAACUUUGCAACUGGAACCUAUGGCUGUCUUGGAUAGGAGGAUGGUUCAGCGGGGUAAUAAGGCUGUGGUUCUGUGGUUAGUCCAAUGGACUAAUUCUUUUCCAGAGGAUGCUACGUGGGUUGAUCAUUCGGAGAUAGAAGCAAAAUAUCCUCAAUUUCAGCCUUGAGGUCAAGGCUAUUUUUCAAGUAGCAGGGAAUGUUAUGUCAAGAAGGUUCUAGAUUAUGGGUCACUUGAGGGAAGUUAGUUAGGUAGUGGUUGAGAGAUUAGUUAGUCAGUCAGUUACAUCAGUUGUGAAUUAGUUAGUCAGUUAGAAGUGUGAAGAAGUAGUUAUAAAUAGUUGAGGAACUCCCAUAUGGAGAGGUAUGUAAAAUUCUAAAAAAAUAAUACACAGAUUCUGCACUUUCUUUUGCUUCUUCUUCCUUAGCUACUACAUUUGAUGAUUGGAUUACUUAGGCUUUCAUUAAUUUUUUUUUUUUUUUUUCUCUUGCCUUCAAACUGUUUGAUAAAAUGUCUCUUAGGCUUCUCAAAAUUCUAAGCCACAAGCCUAACUUAUUGGCAGUGUAAUUGGUGCUCAAACAUGUACUGAAUCAAGCCCACAACAGCUCCAAAUCUUAAUCUGUGGGUGGGCGAGUAGUAGUACAGUUUGGCAUCUGUCCUCAAAUCGAAUGUGCAAAACAAGGCAGCAUUCCAUGUAUUUUAUAAUCAAUUGUUCAUGUCAGUAAUAACAUGUCUCAUGCAUUGUCGGAUGUACACUAUUUCACCUAGCCUAUGUUAUGAUUCAAAUUUUGAGAGGACAAAAAAUAUAUAACUUCUCAAUUAUUAAUAUAACAUACAUAAUUUUUACAAUUUUUCCAUCCUUGCCUCUGUCCCACCUCACACUGGUAAAAGAUCUCACACUAUUGUUGUUGUUGUCCUCUCCACUCCACCAAGUCCCAUCCCAUGUGAUUCUGCGUAUUUUGUGGGUACUCCACUAUUGCCCUUCCCUUCCCUUGUCUUCACCCAACCUUUUUUUAUUCUUUUUUUCUUUUUUUUACCAACCAGAGAGACAGAGACAAAGACACUACUCUGUGAAGCUUGUUUUCCAUGUACAUAAAAAUCAUGUGAGUUGGUUGGUGGUGAUUAUCUUGAGUUGAGCCAUUUUUUACUUAAAAACAACCCCAAUUCAUUCAUUCAUGUUGUAGAGUUAUUAUGUGAUUUACAUUUGGGGUUGUCCUCAUCCUUCCACUCUUUCACUGUGUAUGUACAUUUUAUCAGUAACUAAGAUCAUAUGAUAAUAUUACAAACCAGAAUUUAAAACCAGUGCUUAUUUCUUUAUAUAACUCUCAAACUGUUUAGUCAAUAUUCAUUCAUUGCAUUUUCAGUUAGCUCAUCACUGAUAACUCAUCUUGUGUUUCAUCAUUAACUGAUAUAUUUGAUUUUAUUGACUGUGGUUGCUUGAACUCAUUUGUAAAUCAACUAGAAAAGGUUGCUGGUCUAUGGUGGGAGAGGAGGUGAAGGGCCCAUCAUGGGUGAUUUAUGAGCUUUGAAAGGUCUUAUUGAAGUUCCAAUGACUUCUUCCAUGUCCACUGCCUUGCCAGUCAAAUGAAGACUCUGUUUCUCAACCUCUCUCUGAUCUGGUAGAUCAUUUGAAGAAUGAUAUAUGUACACUAAAUACUCUCACACAAAGCAGCUUGGAACAGAUUUCCAGAGUCUACGGGAACCAGGCAGAAGCAUUUCAAGUAUUGAGGAGAAAGCCAAUACAGGCAUUGCAGCAAUUUUUGGAUUCAGGGGAAUCUCUUCCCUUUCCUGAUGGCAUCCUUAUAAAUGGAAAACUUAAUCUACCUUUAGUCGGGAUCAAGGAAAAACCUACAUGUUCAGGAUUUCAAAUGUGGGCUUGUCGACCUCCAUUAACUUCACGAUUUCAAAUGUGGACUUGUCGACUUCCAUUAACUUUUCAGAAGUUCACUAUCAUCCCCAGAGUCUAUAUGAAUAUAAUGAUUUUCGUAUGAUUCUCUGUUUUGUAUGGAAUUAUUAUUUUAGAUUGGAACAUACUUAGUUCGUAUGGAAUUUGACAUUAAAAGUUAUUUCUUUUUGGAUGGUUGGAAAUGAAAUGGAUGCAAAUUGUGAAAUAAUUGAUAAUAU